rnacentral:rRNA from 1 species
GAUGAACGCUGGCGGCGUGCCUAAUACAUGCAAGUCGAGCGAACGGACGAGAAGCUUGCUUUUCUGAUGUUAGCGGCGGACGGGUGAGUAACACGUGGAUAACCUACCUAUAAGACUGGGAUAACUUCGGGAAACCGGAGCUAAUACCGGAUAAUAUUUUGAACCGCAUGGUUCAAAAGUGAAAGACGGUCUUGCUGUCACUUAUAGAUGGAUCCGCGCUGCAUUAGCUAGUUGGUAAGGUAACGGCUUACCAAGGCAACGAUGCAUAGCCGACCUGAGAGGGGGAUCGGCAACACUGGAACUGAGACACGGUCCAGACUCCAACGGGAGGCAGCAGUAGGGAAUCUUCCGCAAUGGGCGAAAGCCUGACGGAGCAACGCCGCGUGAGUGAUGAAGGUCUUCGGAUCGUAAAACUCUGUUAUUAGGGAAGAACAUAUGUGUAAGUAACUGUGCACAUCUGGACGGUACCUAAUCAGAAAGCAACGGCUAACUACGU